rnacentral:rRNA from 1 species
GUUCUAUUAGCUAGAUGGUAAGGUAACGGCUUACCAUGGCUUUGAUAGAUAGGGGUCCUGAGAGGGAGAUCCCCCACACUGGUACUGAGACACGGACCAGACUCCUACGGGAGGCAGCAGUGAGGAAUAUUGGACAAUGGGCGAGAGCCUGAUCCAGCCAUGCCGCGUGCAGGAAGACUGCCCUAUGGGUUGUAAACUGCUUUUAUACGGGAAGAAACACUCCCUCGUGAGGGAAUUUGACGGUACCGUACGAAUAAGGAUCGGCUAACUCCGUGCCAGCAGCCGCGGUAAUACGGAGGAUCCAAGCGUUAUCCGGAAUCAUUGGGUUUAAAGGGUCCGCAGGCGGGAUAAUAAGUCAGUGGUGAAAGUCUGCAGCUCAACUGUAGAACUGCCAUUGAUACUGUUGUCCUUGAGUAAUUAUGAAGUGGUUAGAAUAUGUAGUGUAGCGGUGAAAUGCAUAGAUAUUACAUAGAAUACCGAUUGCGAAGGCAGAUCACUAAUAAUUUACUGACGCUGAUGGACGAAAGCGUAGGUAGCGAACAGGAUUAGAUACCCUGGUAGUCUACGCCGUAAACGAUGGUUACUAGCUGUUUGGCUCGAUUGAGAGCUGAGUGGCUAAGCGAAAGUGAUAAGUAACCCACCUGGGGAGUACGUUCGCAAGAAUGAAACUCAAAGGAAUUGACGGGGGCCCGCACAAGCGGUGGAGCAUGUGGUUUAAUUCGAUGAUACGCGAAGAAC